rnacentral:rRNA from 1 species
AUUGAACGCUGGCGGCAUGCUUUACACAUGCAAGUCGAACGGUAACAGGCCUUCGGGCGCUGACGAGUGGCGAACGGGUGAGUAAUGCAUCGGAACGUGCCCAGUCGUGGGGGAUAACGCAGCGAAAGCUGCGCUAAUACCGCAUACGAUCUGUGGAUGAAAGCGGGGGACCUUCGGGCCUCGCGCGAUUGGAGCGGCCGAUGUCAGAUUAGGUAGUUGGUGGGGUAAAGGCUCACCAAGCCGACGAUCUGUAGCUGGUCUGAGAGGACGACCAGCCACACUGGGACUGAGACACGGCCCAGACUCCUACGGGAGGCAGCAGUGGGGAAUUUUGGACAAUGGACGCAAGUCUGAUCCAGCCAUGCCGCGUGCGGGAAGAAGGCCUUCGGGUUGUAAACCGCUUUUGUCAGGGAAGAAACGCUCUGGGUUAAUACCUCGGGGUAAUGACGGUACCUGAAGAAUAAGCACCGGCUAACUACGUGCCAGCAGCCGCCGUAAGAC